CGUUCUCAGUUCGGAUCGGAGUCUGCAACCCGACUCCGUGAAGCUGGAUUCGCUAGUAAUCGCGCAUCGGCCAUGGCGCGGUGAAUACGUUCCCGGGCCUUGUACACACCGCCCGUCAAGCCAUGGGAGCCGGGGGUGCUUGAAGUGCGUCGCCGCAAGGCGCGCCCUAGAGCAAAACCGGUGACUGGGGCUAAGUCGUAACAAGGUACC
rnacentral:rRNA from 1 species